UAGCGUAGGGGGCAAGCGUUGUCCGGAAUCAUUGGGCGUAAAGAGCGUGUAGGCGGCCAGAAUAAAGUCCGCUGUGAAAAUCUCGAGGCUCAACUUCGAGCUGUCGGUGGAAACUGUCUGGCUAGAGUCCGGAAGAGGAGAAUGGAAUUCCUGGUGUAGCGGUGAAAUGCGCAGAUAUCAGGAAGAACACCCGUGGCGAAGGCGGUUCUCUGGGACGGUACUGACGCUGAGACGCGAAAGCGUGGGGAGCGAACAGG
rnacentral:rRNA from 1 species